rnacentral:rRNA from 1 species
GACGAACGCUGGCGGCGUGCUUAACACAUGCAAGUCGAACGGAAAGGCCCUGCUUUUGUGGGGUGCUCGAGUGGCGAACGGGUGAGUAACACGUGAGUAACCUGCCCUUGACUUUGGGAUAACUUCAGGAAACUGGGGCUAAUACUGGAUAGGAGCUCCUGCUGCAUGGUGGGGGUUGGAAAGUUUCGGCGGUUGGGGAUGGACUCGCGGCUUAUCAGCUUGUUGGUGGGGUAGUGGCUUACCAAGGCUUUGACGGGUAGCCGGCCUGAGAGGGUGACCGGCCACAUUGGGACUGAGAUACGGCCCAGACUCCUACGGGAGGCAGCAGUGGGGAAGAUUGCACAAUGGGCGGAAGCCUGAUGCAGCAACGCAGCGUGCGGGAUGACGGCCUUCGGGUUGUAAACCGCUUUCGCCUGUGACGAAGCGUGAGUGACGGUAAUGGGUAAAGAAGCACCGGCUAACUACGUG